rnacentral:lncRNA from 1 species
AACCUAUUAUCUUACAAACUUUAAAAACCCACUAUUUCAAGUGGAUUUUUAAAAAAUACCUUACUAAUCUUUUUUACAAAGACCAACUAUGCCUUUUAUAAAGAUAGUUUUACAUUUCCCUACCCAAUAUUCAUGUUAUUUAUUUAUUUAUUUUUUUCAUCUUACUGCAGUAGCUAAACCUCUAGUACAAUGUUACUUACAACUGGUCAGAGCAGUUUUUUAAUCAUUUAGAAAAAGACCCAAUUUUCUACCAAUAUGUAUGAUGUUUGCUUUAAGUGCUUAUUGAUUCCGUUCAUCAGGUUCUGAAAACUGACAUGCAUUUUUAUACUGCUGAGUUUUUUCAUUUUUAUUAUUUUUUUAACGUAAAACAAAUUUUUGAUUUUGUUGAAGUAAUUUUGGUGUGUCUGCUGAGAUGAUCAUAAGGCUUUGGUAUUAAGUUUGUAAUACAAUGACUUUCAUUGAUACAUUUUAAACAUUAAGAGAAUGUUACAUUCUUAAUAUAAACUCUACUUGAUAAUAAAAUAUUAUAUUUAUAUUCUGUGAAAUUAAAUUUUUUAUGCUUUCAGAAAUCACGAUGGGCAUUGGUCAUUGGUUUUCUUGCAAUAGCUUUGAUAUCAGGUUUUUAUUGUCCUCAUAGAACGAGUUGGAAAGUUCUUUUUUUCUCUCUUCUAUGUUUUAGAAGAAUUUUUGAACGGUUGAUAUUAUUUCUUCUUUAAAUGUCUGGGGAAAUUAUCUAUUAGGCUAUCUAAGCUUGAAGGUUGUUUUGUUCUUGUUUUGUUUUGUGGGGGAAGUUUUUAACUAUAAAUUCAACUGUAAUAAAUACUAUAUUAGUAUGCUAAUUGUUCUUGAGCAGAAUUUGCCAGCUUGAGUCUUCCAAGGAAUUAGCUCACUUCAUUAAAAUUGCAAAUGUUGUUGUACAGAUUUGAUUAUAAUAUUGUACUUUUAACAUCUAUAGAAUUUGUAAAUCCAUGACUUUUCUCAUAAUUAAUAUGGAUAUUUUGGGUCUUCUCUAUUGUUUCCCUUUAUUAAUCUAGCUAAAAACUUGACAGUGUCAUUGAUCUCAAAAAAAUAGCUCUUGGUCAGGCAUGGUGGUCAUUGCCUGUAAUCCUAGGACUUUGGGAGGCCAAGGCAGGAGGAUUACUUGAGUCUAGGAGUUUGCAACCAGCCUGGGCAAUACAGAGAGACCCCAUAUAUAUGAAAAAAUUGUAAAAAUUAACCGGCAUUGUGUUACACGUUUGUUGUCCUAGCUACUUGGAAGGCUGAGGUGGGAGGAUCCCUUGAGCCCAGAAGGUCAAGGCUGCAUGGCUGACAGAGUGGAGGACGUCAUGAUCCACCUACGCUUGAAGAUCCAUAUACAAACUAUGAAAUUCUCAUGAAGAAUCAGACUACUCCUCCAACUGACACUGGUGUGGGCAUCUGACUAACCCGAUCCAAGCAUAAAGCUUCCUUCUAGACUCAAUAAUUUAGCAAGAGAUAGACACUUGUGCCAAACUGGGCCAAGCAGCAUUCUGUUUAUUAAUUUUUUUAGUCAAAACGUUAGGAUAGAGGUUUUGCAUUUGCCACAAUUGAUAUUUAAUCGCCAAGAGGCAGAUCACCAUAUCUUCCCUCACGUGAAACACUGGUCUGACAGAAUGAAGUUGACACAUAAAGAGAAUUAAAAUAGAAGUGAGAAAGCAUCUUGUUGUUGUUUUAAUUUUCUAAUUGCUACAUAAUUAUUAUGUUUAUUUAUGGGGUACAAAGUAAUAUUUUAAUACAUGCAUUUAAAGUUUAAUGAUCAAAUCAGAGUAAUUACCAUAUACAUGACCUCAAAUAUUUAUGAUUUCUUAGUAUUGGGAAUAUUCAAAAUCAUCUCUUUUAGCUAUUUGAAAUUAUUCAAUAAGUUAUUGUUAACUAUAGUCACCCUACAGUGCCAUAGCACACUAGUACUUAGUCCUCCUUUCUCGGUAUAAUUUUAUAUACAUUAAGCAAGUGUUCUCGAUCCUCAUCUGUCCCCAACCUUUCCCAGCCUUUAAUAACCACAAUUUUGUGGUUAUAUAAGCUCAACAUUUUUAGCUCCCACACAUGAAAGAGAACAUGCUAUAUUCAUCUUUUUGUGCCUGAUUUGUUUCACUUAAAAUUAUAUCCUUCUGGCUCCCUCUUUGCCGCAAAUGACAACAUUUCCUUCUUUUUCUUGUGUCUAUAUAGUAAAUUUUCAUUAUCCACUCAUCUUUUGAUACACACUUAGGCUAAUUCCAUAUCUUGGCUAAUGUGAAUAGCACUGCAAUAAAAAUGGCGGUAUAGAUAUCAUUCUGAUGUGUUGAUUUUCUUGCCAUUGAAUAAAUACCCAAAUGAGAUUGAGAUUGUUGGAUCAUAUGGUACUUUUUGUUUCGUUUUGUUUUGUUUUGAGACGGAUUCUCUCUCUGUCGCCCAGGCUGGAGUGCAGUGGCGCAAUCUCAGCUCACUGCAACCUCCGCCUCCAGUUUAAGCGAUUCUCCUGCCUCCUUCUCCCGAGUAGCUGGGACUACAGGCGCCCGCCACCACGCCCGGCUAAUUUUUUGUAUUUUUAGUAGAGACGGGGUUUCACCGUGUUAGUCAGGGUGGUCUCUAUCUCCUGACCUCGAGAUCCGCCCAUCUCAGCCUCCCAAAGUGCUGGGAUUACAGGCGUGAGCCACCACGCCUGACCCUGGUACUUUUAUAUUUAGUUUUUUGAGUCAGUUGCAUGUUUUCUAUAAUAACUGUAUUAAUUUACAUUCCCUCCAAUAGUUUGUAAGAGUUCUCUUUUCUCCAGAUCUUCCAGUAUCUGUUAUUUUUUCUCCUUUUGAUAAUAGCCACUCUAACUGGAGUGAGAAGAUAUCUUUUAGUUUUGACUUGUAUUUCCCUGGUGAUUAGUGAAGUUGAACAUUUUUUCAUAUACUAGUUGACCAUUUGUUUGAGUUAUUUUAUAAAAUGUCUAAUCAGAUCCUUUGUCCAUGUUUUAAUAGUAUUAUUAUUAUCAUUAUUUGCUGUUGAUUUGAAUGCUUUUAUAUUCUGGAUAUUAAUCCCUUGUAAAAUGAAUAGUUUGCAAAUAUUUUCUCCCGUUCUACAGAUUGUCUCUUCACUCACUUGAUCGUUUCCUUUGUUGUGCAGAAGCUUUUUAGUUGGAUACAAUACCAUGUGUCUAUUUUUCUAUUGUUGCCUGUGUUUUUAUAAUCUUACCUAUAAAAUAUUUGCCCAGACUAAUGUCCUCUAGCACUUCUUCCAUGUUCUAUCCCAGUAGUCUCAUAUGUUAUGUUAAAAUAUUUAAUCCACUUUUACUCUGAUAUUUGUAGGGGUCUAGCAUCAUUCUUCUACACAUAAAUAUACAGUUUUCCCAGUGCCAUUUACUGAAAAGCCUAUCCUUUCCCCAGUGGAUGUUCUGGCGCCUUUGUCAAAAACCAGUUGACUGUAAAUACAUGGGUUUAUUUCUGGGUGCUAUAUUCUGGUCUAUUGGUCUAUGUAUCUGUUUUUGAGCCAGGACCAUGUGGUUUUGGUUAUUAUAGCUUUGUAGUUUUCUUUUGAAGUCAGGUAAUGUGAUGCCUCCAGCUUUGUUCUUUUUGUUCAGGCUUGUUUUGGCUAUGUGGGGUCUUUUGUGAAACAUCAAAUGAAAUUCCAUACGAAUUUUAGAAUUUUAUUUCUAUUUUCAUGAAAAAAUGUCAUGGGUAUUUUGAUAGGAAUUGCCCUGAAUCUGUAGGUGGGUAGUAUGGUCAUGUUAACAAUAUUUAUUCUUCCAAUCUAUAAACAUGGAAUCAAAUUCCAUUAUUUUGGUGUGUUCUCUUCCAUUACUUUCAUCACUUCUUUGUAGUUUUCAUUGUAAAAGUAUUUUACCUCCUGAGGUAAAUUUAUUCCUAGGUAUUUUACUUUUUAUUUUUAUAGCCUUUGUAAAUAAAAUUGCUUUCUUUAUUUCUUUUUCAGCUAGUUUGUAAUUGGGAUUUAGAAAUACUACUGAAAUUUGUAUGUUGAUGUUAUAUCCUGCAAUUUUACUGAUUUGUUUAUCAACCCUAAUAGUGUUCUAGUGGAGUCUUUAUGUUUUUCUAUAUAUAAAAUUAUGUUUUAAACAAAGAGAGAUGAUUCAACUUUCUCUUUUCCAGUUUGUAUGUCCUUUAUUUCUUUCUAUUGCUUAAUUUCUCUGGUUAGGACUUUCGAUAAU